UGGGUGAGUAAUGUCUGGGAAACUGCCUGAUGGAGGGGGAUAACUACUGGAAACGGUAGCUAAUACCGCAUAACGUCGCAAGACCAAGAGGGGGACCUUAGGGCCUCUUGCCAUCGGAUGUGCCCAGAUGGGAUUAGCUAGUAGGUGGGGUAACGGCUCACCUAGGCGACGAUCCCUAGCUGGUCUGAGAGGAUGACCAGCCACACUGGAACUGAGACACGGUCCAG
rnacentral:rRNA from 1 species